GAUGAACGCUGGCGGCGUGCCUAAUACAUGCAAGUCGAGCGAACAGACGAGGAUCUUGCUCCUCUGACGUUAGCGGCGGACGGGUGAGUAACACGUGGAUAACCUACCUAUAAGACUGGGAUAACUUCGGGAAACCGGAGCUAAUACCGGAUAAUAUAUUGAACCGCAUGGUUCAAUAGUUAAAUACGGUUUUGCUGUCACUUAUAGAUGGAUCCGCGCCGCAUUAGCUAGUUGGUAAGGUAACGGCUUACCAAGGCCACGAUGCGUAGCCGACCUGAUAGGGUGAUCGGCCACACUGGAACUGAGACACGGUCCAGACUCCUACGGGAGGCAGCAGUAGGGAAUCUUACGCAAUGGGCGAAAGCCUGACGGAGCAACGCCGCGUGAGGGAUGAAGGUCUUCGGAUCGUAAAACUCUGUUAUUAGGGAAGAACAAAUGUGUAAGUAACUAUGCACGUCUUGACGGUACCCAAUCAGAAAGCCACGGCUAACUACGUG
rnacentral:rRNA from 1 species